rnacentral:rRNA from 1 species
CUUCGGUCGAAGCUCUUGAUCGAAGCCCCGGUAAACGGCGGCCGUAACWAUAACGGUCCUAAGGUAGCGAAAUUCCUUGUCGGGUAAGUUCCGACCUGCACGAAUGGCGUAAUGAUGGCCACGCUGUCUCCACCCGAGACUCAGUGAAAUUGAAAUCGCUGUGAAGAUGCAGUGUACCCGCGGCUAGACGGAAAGACCCCGUGAACCUUUACUACAGCUUGGCACUGAACAUUGACCCUACAUGUGUAGGAUAGGUGGGAGGCUUUGAAGCACGUACGCCAGUAUGUGUGGAGCCGUCCUUGAAAUACCACCCUUGUAGUGUUGAUGUUCUAACGUCGACCCCUUAUCGGGGUUGCGGACAGUGCCUGG